rnacentral:snoRNA from 1 species
GUUUGAAUGAUGACUUUUCAAAAUGUCGGAUACCCCUUCACUCAUUCUAUGAGUGAGAGCAAUAGUCUGACAAAC